rnacentral:rRNA from 2 species
AGCUAAUACCGCAUAACGUCGCAAGACCAAAGAGGGGGACCUUCGGGCCUCUUGCCAUCGGAUGUGCCCAGAUGGGAUUAGCUAGUAGGUGGGGUAACGGCUCACCUAGGCGACGAUCCCUAGCUGGUCUGAGAGGAUGACCAGCCACACUGGAACUGAGACACGGUCCAGACUCCUACGGGAGGCAGCAGUGGGGAAUAUUGCACAAUGGGCGCAAGCCUGAUGCAGCCAUGCCGCGUGUAUGAAGAAGGCCUUCGGGUUGUAAAGUACUUUCAGCGGGGAGGAAGGGAGUAAAGUUAAUACCUUUGCUCAUUGACGUUACCCGCAGAAGAAGCACCGGCUAACUCCGUGCCAGCAGCCGCGGUAAUACGGAGGGUGCAAGCGUUAAUCGGAAUUACUGGGCGUAAAGCGCACGCAGGCGGUUUGUUAAGUCAGAUGUGAAAUCCCCGGGCUCAACCUGGGAACUGCAUCUGAUACUGGCAAGCUUGAGUCUCGUAG